rnacentral:rRNA from 1 species
UACGAGGGGGGCGAGCGUUGUUCGGAAUUAUUGGGCGUAAAGGGUGCGUAGGCGGUUUGGUAAGUCUUAUGUGAAAUCUACAGGCUCAACUUGUAGUCUGCAUGAGAAACUGUCGGGCUUGAGUAUGGGAGAGGUGAGUGGAAUUUCCGGUGUAGCGGUGAAAUGCGUAGAUAUCGGAAGGAACACCUGUGGCGAAAGCGGCUCACUGGACCAUUACUGACGCUGAGGCACGAAAGCUAGGGGAGCAAACAGG